ACGGGUGAGUAACGCGUAAUCAACCUGCCCUUCAGAGGGGGACAACAGUUGGAAACGACUGCUAAUACCGCAUACGAUCCAAUCUCGGCAUCGAGGAUGGAUGAAAGGUGGCCUCUAUUUAUAAGCUAUCACUGAAGGAGGGGAUUGCGUCUGAUUAGCUAGUUGGAGGGGUAACGGCCCACCAAGGCAAUGAUCAGUAGCCGGUCUGAGAGGAUGAACGGCCACAUUGGGACUGAGACACGGCCCAGACUCCUACGGGAGGCAGCAGUGGGGAAUCUUCCGCAAUGGACGAAAGUCUGACGGAGCAACGCCGCGUGAGUGAUGACGGCCUUCGGGUUGUAAAGCUCUGUUAAUCGGGACGAAAGGUCCUCUUGCGAAUAGUUAGAGGAAUUGACGGUACCGGAAUAGAAAGCCACGGCUAACUACGUGCCAGCAGCCGCGGUAAUACGUAGGUGGCAAGCGUUGUCCGGAAUUAUUGGGCGUAAAGCGAGCGCAGGCGGUUAGGUAAGUCUGAAGUUAAAGGCUGUGGCUUAACCAUAGUACGCUUUGGAAACUGUUUAACUUGAGUGCAAGAGGGGAGAGUGGAAUUCCAUGUGUAGCGGUGAAAUGCGUAGAUAUAUGGAGGAACACCGGUGGCGAAAGCGGCUCUCUGGCUUGUAACUGACGCUGACGCUCGAAAGCGUGGGGAGCAAACAGGAUUAGAUACCCUGCUAGUCCACGCCGUAAAC
rnacentral:rRNA from 1 species